rnacentral:lncRNA from 1 species
CCUGUGCUUGCCUUCCUUGAUUCGCACCCACCUGGAAAACUCGAGCAUCCUUAUCCUACACACUGCGUCGCUGGAAGCGAUGAGUCGAAGCUGGUUCCUGGUAUUUUAACAUGUUCACAAUUAUAACCGUCUGAUUUGAAUCUAUAACUAAAGAAAUUCGAUAUCAUGUCUUUUUUUGUGCACAUACCAUUGUGUGUUUUUCUGCUAUAUGUGCAGCUCUAAGUUGGAUCGAAGAAGAGCCGAAUGUGACAAUUAGGCGCAAAGAUUGCUAUGAUGGCUACCUGGGAUCGAUUCAGGAGGAUGGCUCCAAUGUCUUUGUUGACUGGGUGAAGAGCAACAAGAUACAAACUGUGAGUGUAUUCUAUCCCUUCUUGCUUGACUGAUUUCAAGAAUUUUGCGAUUAUUCAAUGAUUAAUUAGACUUGUCAAUCCAAGCAUAAUUGUUGCUUACAUACACUAACUGGGAUGAAUUACGUGCAGCUGUUGGUGGUAGGCAUCUGCACAGACAUAUGUGUGCUGGAUUUUGUCUGCUCCACAAUAUCAGCUAAAAACCGUGGCUUCCUGGAACCCCUCGAGGAUGUUGUGGUGUACUCCAAAGGUUGUGCUACUUUUGAUAUUCCAGCUUCACUGGCAAGAAACAACAAAGAUCUAUUAGCUCAUCCCCAGGUAAUUUCCUUCAACAGCAAAAACAUUUGAAAACCGAUAGCGGGGCAUGAUCAAGAGUAACCUUUUUUUUUAUGACGAGAAGUUGAAUUCAUUCGCCACCAUCUAAUGUUCAUCGAUUCUUGAUCAUGGCAGGAGAUGAUGCAUCAUGUAGGGCUUU